rnacentral:tRNA from 1 species
AGUUUAUUAACUUAAUAAGUAUAUAUUUUGAAAAUAUAAUAAAGAAAUUAAAAAUUUCUAUAAACUU